AAAUUUUUAGUUUAUCUAAAACUAUAUUUUGUCAUAAUAUAAAAGCCUAACAGCAAAAUUUU
rnacentral:tRNA from 1 species